GACGAACGCUGGCGGCGUGCUUAACACAUGCAAGUCGAACGGUAAGGCCCUUCGGGGUACACGAGUGGCGAACGGGUGAGUAACACGUGGGUGAUCUGCCCUGCACUUCGGGAUAAGCCUGGGAAACUGGGUCUAAUACCGGAUAGGACUCCGGACUGCAUGGUCUGGGGUGGAAAGCUUUUGCGGUGUUGGAUGGGCCCGCGGCCUAUCAGCUUGUUGGGGGGGUGAUGGCCUACCGAGGCGACGACGGGUAGCCGGCCGGAGAGGGUGACCGGCCACACUGGGACUGAGAUACGGCCCAGACUCCUACGGGAGGCAGCGGUGGGGAAUAUUGCACAAUGGGCGCAAGUCUGAUGCAGCGACGCCGCGUGAGGGAUGACGGCCUUCGGGUUGUAAACCUCUUUCAGCAUCGACGAAGCGAAAGUGACGGUAGGUGCAGAAGAAGGACCGGCCAACUACGUGCCAGCCGCCGCAGUAA
rnacentral:rRNA from 1 species